CCCUUAGACGUUCUGGGCCGCACGCGCGCUACACUGACGAAAGCAACGAGCUUUCCUUUACCGAAAGGUACGGGUAAUCUUUUGAAACUUCGUCGUGCUGGGGAUAGAUCCUUGCAAUUAUUGAUCUUAAACGAGGAAUUCCUAGUAAGCGCAAGUCAUCAACUUGCGUUGAUUACGUCCCUGCCCUUUGUACACACCGCCCGUCGCUACUACCGAUUGAAUGGUUUAGUGAGGCCUUCGGAUCCGCGACUCGUUUUGUGGAGAAGUUGGACAAACUCAGUCAUUUAGAGGAAGUAAAAGUCGUAACA
rnacentral:rRNA from 1 species